UGGGUAUCUUUGGCUGUCAAGUUGGAGAAGUGGGAGAUUGUAGUGUUCGAUAGUAAUAUAAACCUCACACCUAAUCAAAAAUUGGUCAAACACUUGGAGCCUUUCCGGUGCAUGCUACCGUACUUGCUUCGUCAAAGUGGUAAGUUUAUGGGUCGUCUUCACAAAAUUCCUGAGCCAUUUACAUGUCGAAGGUUGUGUGACAUUCCUCAAGACCAAUCCAGCGGAGAUUGUGGAAUAUUUGCCAUCAAGCAUAUCGAGUUCGACAUGUGCGGGCUAAACAUGAAUUAUGUUCACGAUGACAAUAUUGUCUUCUUUCGAAAAAAAAUGUCAUGUGAAAUCUACAAUAGAGAUUGGGAUCCAUAGUAAAGGAAAAUCUGGAAUUGUAUUUUGUUUAUGUAUCAAACUCUUAUAGUAUGACUUGUAUUGGAUAUUUAUUAGCAAAGGCAAUGGAAUGGUAUUUUGUUUAUGUAUAAAACAGUUCUGGUAUACCACAAAUUGUUAUA